rnacentral:misc_RNA from 1 species
AAAACGACCAUUUAAAGAUUAAUGUUCGACUGGAUGGAUAUUGGCCGCAGGGAGAAAGGGAAGGGAAAAGGGAAAAUUCGCAGUCGCCGGCGUGAAAGGGGUGGACCCUAGAUGAGGAAGACGUUCAGUCGGUUGUCGCUGCUUGACGAUUCGUCUCGUUCCGCCGUCCUUUCAGUCGGCUUGAUGUUGAUACAAUUCUUUCUGUAAUAAUCAGUCGGAUUAAGCCUUUUAUUUUUUAAAUAUCUAUCCUUACUUAGGUUAAGGUCAUUAGGUGAGGUGCAUCUGGUUUUCGGUCGAAUAGAAACAAUUUGAAUUUUUUGUUUAAAAAUGAGGAAAGGAAGUAGUGGGAAGCAGAUACUGACCAGAUUCCACUCCUAUCACGGUGAGAACAUUGUUCUGAAAGAGAACAACACGGUCGCUUUGAGAAAGACGAGCUUUGCGAACGCUUUGACUUUCAGUGACAAACCUCUUUUGCCCGGUGAGAUAUUCCUCGUCGAGAUAGAAAGGAAUGAAAGCUGUUGGAGCGGGUACAUGAGACUGGGCCUCACUCAGUUGAACCCUCAGAUGAUAUCCAGGAAUAGAGGCUAUCUCCCGAGGUACGCCCUCCCGGACCUGACCAACAUGAGCACCUCCUGGAUAUACGCCAUCACGAAGAACAACGAGUACGAGUUCGAGACGCUUCCUCUGCCUAAUACGACAACCGAGUCGCCCCAGUUGGCAGCUGCUGCCAGCGUUGAUUCGAAAUUUUAUACGGGCGACGAUACGGUCCACACGUCGCGGGGUACCAUCUCGAAGAGUAUCCUCAAGCCCGACAAGUACCAAGACGUCUCCCCGACGGAUGUAGGCAGUAGGAUCGGUGUCUUUUUCAGCCCUAUCAAAUCCAACUAUCUGGAUGGUGAUUAUGCUGAAAUGCACUUUAUUAUCAACGGAGAGGUCCAGGGCCCCUGCUAUAGCUUCAUACCGUACAAGGAGGGACCUCUGUAUGCCGUCGUUGACAUUUACGGCACGACUAAACAGGUCAAGAUCGUCCAGCUCUAUGGAGUUGGUUCUCUGCAAAGCGCUUGCAGAGACGUCAUACUCCAAUGCGUCAGCAAGAAGAAAAUCCACCUCUUGCCUUUACCGAAGGCUUUGAAGCUCUAUUUGCUAUUUCGUUGAACAAGAGAGUUGAUGUUGGUCUGUGUGUCGGUGUACACAUGUUGAACCGGCACUGGGUCUGUCUCUACUUGAUGGUUUUGAUGUCACUCAAAUGCAUUUUGAAACAUUGCCUCACAGAAGAUGGCGCAAAGUGUGAGUGUAGACAGGUCCAGUAAGUAAUGAAAAGAAGAUGGUUUUAAAAUUAACUAAAUUCAUGUCUGUAUGGUGAUUGACCAGUCCAUUUUUGAUCCUGCCUAUCCUCAACAUUAGACCACAAACCUAAUGCUAAAAAUGAUGAAAACUCAAAACUGACGGACUAAAAUGGACAAAAAUGACGAAGUUAAUUAUGUGAAUAUUUUAGCCUUAUGAUUUAUUAUCCUAGUCUUUAAAUACUUUGUUAUUAGCAGUAUUUUUGUUAAAUUUAAGUGGCUUAGAUGCUAACAAAGAGUACAUCUUUGGCAGUACAUCUGAUCACAGGGUAAUUCAUGAUUGUUAAAUUCUAUUACUUGUAACUUGACUGAGUUUUGACAAGACUUCAACUAUUUGUUUUAAGACAUGUUAAAUAUAUAUUAAUUUAGAAAAUUCAUAUUGGUAAAAAAAAGAGUUUUUAAAUGUAAGUUUGCAGAUGAUAUUCCAAAAAAGUGUAAUAAAAUAUAAUUAUCACACCAUUCAUUUGAAUUGUUUUAUAAAAAAACUUGUGUAACGUAGCUGACAAAGGAAUUAAUGGCUCGUGAAUAAUUUGAAUUAUAUUGAAAUAAAGUGUCAUUAUAACAUAAGUAUCAACAAUGUUUUAUUAAAUCUGACA